CACGCCGUAAACGAUGAAUACUAGGUGUAGGAGGUAUCGACCCCUUCUGUGCCGUCGCAAACGCAGUAAGUAUUCCACCUGGGGAGUACGGCCGCAAGGCUGAAACUCAAAGGAAUUGACGGGGGCCCGCACAAGCAGUGGAGUAUGUGGUUUAAUUCGAAGCAACGCGAAGAACCUUACCAGGGCUUGACAUCCUCUGACAGCUUUAGAGAUAAAGCGUUCUCUUCGGAGACAGAGAGACAGGUGG
rnacentral:rRNA from 1 species